rnacentral:lncRNA from 1 species
GAAAUUUAUAUACCUUAUCUAAAUUUUCAGAUGCAAUCCCAGUAAAAUCAUGAAGAACACAAACUGCAGUCCACUAAUAUUAACACUAACAUCGUUCACAUAGCGACUGAAACAUCAAAAGUGACUACAUUACAAUGAUUUCUUCACAUAACACAACACAUAUUACACAUCAACUUCACAUAAUACAACACAUAUUGCACAUCAAAGGUGGUAGUGAUGCAUCCCAAGAAAUAUAACCAGUAAUCAUGCCGGCCCCUUCUUAUCCACUCCCACACUUCCAAUGGCAUUUCUUAUUGUCACAUUCAAAGAAAUCUCAAUGUUUUGUUCUCCAGUUACCUGACAAAGGGAAUGGAACAUGCGAGAGAACUGCUGGACUUCUUCAAAUGCCUCAUGAUUAUUCGAGUUAACGACAAUAAUACUCGAUCUACAGCUUGAUUCUCCACCCAUUCCCAGUAUUUACAGUUAGCAUUGUAGCAACUGAACGAUUUUCCCUUUUUCUUCAUCUCCCCCUCAACCUCAAAGCACUUCACAAAUCCAAUUUUACACCAGGGGCAUCGUCGUUUCUCUGGGUAAUCGCAAAGAAUUGCCCCUUCUCUCUACAGCUAUGACAAGGUCCAAAAUUCUUUUCUGUCAUACUACAUACAAAUGAAAAAUAGGUUGCACUAUAUUAGACAACAACCACACACCAAUGUAAAAUCCACAAAUUUGCAAAACCCAUACUCUAUUUUUUUCCUACCAACGUUGUUUGACAAAAAUUUCUAUUAAUUCAAAACAUCACUUAUUCGUUCAUAAUACAUCUAAACUACUAAUGAGUACUAUCAAAUUGGAUGAAUUUUAAAAAUCUUUGAUGUAGUCGGGAUGAGGGUGAGAUUUUUUCCUACAAAGAAUGUCGGGUUGCGUUCAUUGAAACUGAAAUUAGUCGACCACGGUAGCAAGCGAUGAACAAAUAUCAUGCUUACAUAAUAUUUGCUCAAGAUUUCAUCGGAGGCGAUGGCAUCGGCGACAAACGAUCUUGCUGUACACGGUCAACUUCUCUCUUGCAGCUACAAAUUUUUUUUGCCAACCGUCCGAUUGACCGACAGAUGAUCUCUAGGAUAAGCACGGGCUUCUUAAUAAGGUCAGAACGAAGGACUGCAAUUUCAGUUCUCCUAGAAUGGUUGUUUUGCCUCUUGGCGGUUUUUUCUGUGUUUGGGGGGUAAACGAAAGUGAAAAACUGGUCCGGGUUUUAUUUGUUUUGGG